AUCCUUUAACGGUUCUACUGGGGAGUGAUGAGUUGUGGGUUCGCACGCCUCAUGCGUGAUACGUGCCACGCCCUUUUAACCUUGUUACGACGACAGGCACGUAGCCCUUCUGACC